UACGGGGGGGGCAAGCGUUGUUCGGAAUUACUGGGCGUAAAGGGCUCGUAGGCGGCCAACUAAGUCAGACGUGAAAUCCCUCGGCUUAACCGGGGAACUGCGUCUGAUACUGGAUGGCUUGAAUCCGGGAGAGGGAUGCGGAAUUCCAGGUGUAGCGGUGAAAUGCGUAGAUAUCGUCAAGAACACCGAUAGCGAAGGCAGCUUACUGGGCUGUAACUGACGCUGAUGCACGAAAGUGUGGGGAUCAAACAGG
rnacentral:rRNA from 1 species